CAAGACUGUAUACAUAAUAAAUAAAUAAA
rnacentral:piRNA from 1 species